UCCACAUGCAUGGAGGUAGAAUUAGCACCUCCCCCCCAGGGAUCUGGUACAGACGUGGAAUCUGUUUCACACAACUGCUACUUGAAGGGGGAAAAAAGAAGCAAAUGAUACCAAGACAAGCUCAUAAGAGAGAUCUAGUCACCAGAUGUGUACGGAAGAAAAUACAGUGAGAUGAGUCAGAAAAUGGGUAAGGAGGGUCCCAGACUCUCCAAGAACCAGAAGUUUUCUGAGCACUUCAGCAUACAUUGCUGCCCGCCAUUCACAUUCCUCAAUUCCAAACGCGAGAUUGUGGAUCGGAAAUACAGCAUCUGUAAGAGCGGCUGCUUCUACCAGAAGAAGGAAGAGGAUUGGAUCUGCUGUGCCUGCCAGAAGACCAGAUUGAAAAGGAGGAUCAAGCCCACCCCAAGGAAGAAGUGACCAAAGACUUUCAGGUGAACGGACAGUCUCAGCUUCUGCACUCACUGCUUUUUGACCCAUGUGACCUUGGACAAGUUAUCUGGCUAUAUCACGCAGGGACAGACAGCCAUGACUGCAGCAACUACCGAAGCCCACCAUCGCCUUGGCACGGGGGCUGAUGAGCAGCAUGCCUGGAGCAGUGCUGUGAAGACACCACCCCAUUGUCUUCUGACCUCUGUCAUUGCCAAGGAGAAAUCUGCUUUCUGUCUCCGUGUCCCUCCAUUGACUCAAGUCUCUUCAAUCUGAAGACAUAUAUCUUUCCUCAGGGAUAUUGUACAACCAGCAGAGUGUCGAAAAUUCAAAAUUAUCAGCAAGAAUAUAGGGAAAACUCCCAUAAGCCUCCAAUGAGAAUUUAUAAACUAUACGACACCACCAGGGAUACUAGCAAAGCAGCAUAUUGUAUAAUUGAUGAUUAAACAAUUGUAAUUUUAGGCACCCAGCCUAGAGAAACCUUGCGUUUAUAGACAAAGGAGAGUCACAUAAAUCUGUUCAGUGAAGUGUUGUUUUCCAUCAGAAAUAGAAAUAGAAAGAUGUUUGUCAUAAUGUCUGCCAAUAGGAAAGUGAAUCAAUAGUGAAAUAUUCAUGAAUCAAGUUCUAAAUAACAAUUAAAACAAAUGAAUCAGAUACACCUACAACAGAUAGAUAAAUUUGGAAAACAAAAUGAGGAAUAUAAAAAGUGAAUAGUAGAUGAUAAUUGCAAUAUGAUACUCUGCAUAAAUUUUAACAACUCACCAUCCUCUAAUUGCCCGAUAAGCAGAAACCAUAAGCUCUCACACGCUCCCUGUAAUGCAAGUUUUCAAAAUGACUAUAAAAUAAAGGGCUAUCCAACAACUAUCUAUUUUUUUGGAAAUUGAAAAGAUUUGAAAUAAUUGCUGGUUUGAAGACACGCCAGAAAUUAAAAACUUUAUAGAAAUGGUUAACCAUAUUAGUCAGACACAAUUGUGUUUGGAGAGAGAAGUGGGAGACCAGUGAUCAGCCCCGGGCCCCUCCAAAGUUACAAAUCUUAUGAAACAAAACACCUGCUCAGAGUCAGCUUUGCUGGUUUCUGACAGGGGGAAAAUUUUGGGGGAUGAGUUAGUGUACACCCCUCCCUCCCAACCUUCUUUUAGUGAUAGGCAGGAAAACAGAAGAUAACAGAAUGUUGCAGAAUGUGGAGGAUGUAAGAUGGACAGUAUUCAGAGGUGGAGGGAACUGAGAGCAAAGGAGAGAGAGGGUGUCUGGAGCAGACGUGUGCUGGGAGCUGGGGCUGCCUAGCACAGGCAGGUGCUUGAAGCACCACCUAUGACACAACCCUGUGUCCUUAACUGGCCAACUUUCAGGACAAGUGAGAACAGGGAUGCAAGGCAGGAGGAUGUCCUGGGGUGGGAGGGGAAACCAGAGAGCAGGGAGCAAGAGCGGUAGAGCCAAUGAGAUGUAGCUCAGGACACCUCAGGCCCAGCCCUCUCGCCACCAAGGCAGCUAGCAGGGUGAGGUCAGAGGGUCCCUGUUUCUCCGCCUGCGGAAGCCAUGGCUCGCUGCGGAAGUGGCAAUAAAAAGGCAGGGGCAUUGAACUACACAGAGCCUAAGGUAGAAAUGUUUCUCCUGCCUAUAUUCAGGUGCUAAAUGAACAACAGAGUGAGAAUCUUGACCACAGUUUCCAGCAGUGAGACAGGUGAGGUCAUUAUGCUCCUGGGAAUAACAGCAAGGGGCACACCAGGGCCACCAGGAAGAGCAAUUAGCGGGGGGCCCCACUAAGCCCCCCAGGGAAACUUCACAUCCCUCAAUCAUCUUUAGAUUUUGUCCAAGUCAGACCCAUCCUCAAAGCUUGUGGGCUCUCUCCAAGGAAUCCAGAAGAUGCUCAGUUACUACAGAGUGCAGAAUUGGAGAGGCGAUAACAUAAUAUGUGUUAAUUCAUGUAAAAACUUUGGGUAGUAGCACAGAAAUGUUAAUAACUAGAAAUGACUGAAUUGCCUGUUUGUCUGUUGUGGAAAUAAAACCUUCUGGGAAUGGAUCAAGAA